AUUCAACUUUCGAAGGCAUAAGUUUUCAUCAAUUUCCAAAAGAAAGUGAAAAGAAGCUUUUGCGGAAAAACAAACUUGGUAUUGAAGAGCUUGUAGACAAAAGAGGAAUAUGGGCAAAUAAUUUACGUAUGGACAAAGAAACAUUGCAAAAAAAAAGAUUACAAGUGUGUUCAAAACAUUUUACGGAAGAUAAUUAUUUUUGGCCUAGUAUUAAAUCAGAAAGAAAGUGCCUUAAAAAAAAAUGCUGAUCCUAAUAAGAACCUACCCAAAUCAUCAGUUCCAAUAAUUUCUCCUAAAAAAAGAUUAUCUCCAAGAAAAAAAACUACUCAGAAAGAACCACUAACUCACUCAAAGAAGCUUGAUUUUUCGAGCCAUAUUACAUCACCACAUCACCUAACAGCAGUCGAUCUUCCUUUAAAUGUGUCAAUAAAUAACGAAGACCAAGAAAAAAUUGAAAAUA